rnacentral:lncRNA from 1 species
GUGACAGAGCCCUUCAGGACAGGACAUUAGGGCUGAGAAGCCCAGCUGAAGCUGAGUGUCAUCUAGCCAGGGCUCUUGUGCCAGGGACAGGCUGCUGUGCUUGAUCCUGGGUUUGCUGGUGCUCAAGUCUUUGCCCCCCAGGGGAUCAGAGGUGAGUGGUGCAAGCAGUGCUGGGAAGGCUGCUGCCACCCGGUGGUGCCACCAGAGCCUGCCUGGGCUCCAGCUGUGAAGUGAGGUUCCAGGGGUGGGAGGUGAGGGACACAGAAUAGCUAGACUUGGGAAGGUUUUGCAAGAAAAUCAUAGUCUAGUGUUGAUGUGGCAGUUACUGAUUUCGGCAGGAGGAAGCAUAAUGCUUGUGGAGCCUCCAGACCUGCCAGGUGCGGACCUUCCCCUGGCCACGUCAGGUCUACAGGGCCCAUGAGUCCGGUGAGCGGACUGCUGCAAUCUCAAAAAUGGAUAAUCCCAAACCCUGAGCACCAGCUUCUUCCUCAAUUAUUUACAAGGAACACGAUGUGGUACAAAGAAAUCUAAUUCAUAAUGUCUCUUUAAUGCCUUUGUAACACAAUAUUCACAAUAUUCCCUUCUAAUCUCAGCAGAUGACAAGUUGCCACUAUUGAAUUUCCAUUAAUA